AGCAGCCGCGGUAAUUCCAGCUCCAAUAGCGUAUAUUAAAGUUGUUGCAGUUAAAAGCUCGUAGUUGAAUUUCGGGGUUAGUAGGUUGGUCAUGCCUCUGGUAUGUACUGGUCUCACUGAUUCCUCCUUCCUGAUGAGCCGUAAUGCCAUUAAUUUGGUGUUGCGGGGAAUUUGGACUGUUACUUUGAAAAAAUUAGAGUGCUCCAGGCAGGCCUUUGCUCGAAUAUGUUAGCAUGGAAUAAUAGAAUAGGACGUGCGGUCCUAUUUUGUUGGUUUCUAGGACCGCCGUAAUGAUUAAUAGGGACAGUCGGGGGCAUCAGUAUUCAAUUGUCAGAGGUGAAAUUCUUGGAUUUAUUGAAGACUAACUACUGCGAAAGCAUUUGCCAAGGAUGUUUUCAUUAAUCAAGAACGAAAGUUAGGGGAUCGAAGACGAUCAGAUACCGUCGUAGUCUUAACCAUAAACUAUGCCGACUAGGGAUCGGAUGAUGUUAAUUUUUUAAUGACUCAUUCGGCGCCUUACGGGAAACCAAAGUGUUU
rnacentral:rRNA from 1 species